rnacentral:lncRNA from 1 species
UAAAUUCGCUUAUCACUGAUAAUACUUAAUCAAUUAUGUCGCUAUAAAACGCGUUUGAAAACGGAAUUUUUAAGUUUUCAGAAGGUUAUGAUCUUCAUCUUUGCUGUUUGUAAGCUACGUCAUAUUAGAGUAUGUACAUAGAUAAGAACAGGAAAAUAAAGCUGGCCAAUAUUCGGAUGAAAACGAUGCCGGUCGAAUUCCGAAAAACCUUCACGAAUUACUUAUAUACAUAUAAAUGUAUGUAUGUAGUUCAUCUCGGAUCAAUGUAUGUAGCUCGAUAGAGAACACUCUUCGGUUUUAUUUUCGCCGGGAAGUCUCAGUUGUUUUACACUGGCGGAAGAACUACUUUACGAUUAAAAAUGCUGCGUUUAGCGCCAUAUUCCCCCAUGCUAAACCCCAUUGAAAUAAUCUGGGGAAAAAUCAAAAUGCAUGUAAAGGGGCAUAUCUCAAACCCAGUCAUAAAUGGGCCAAACAUUGUUGAACAACGGCUGCAAUAUUUGGAGAAUUUGGUGGAUGACGCGAAAACUAUAAUCCUCGGAGGAGACUGCGCGAGAGUAUUUCAGCACGCAACAUCUUUCCAUGGAAAUGCUUUAUCUUUACAAGAUAUGCAAGUUGGGACAUAAUAAACUUGCAUUUUUAAUAACAUCUAAAUAAUUUCUGAAUAAAAACGAGUUUCUCAUUUCCAAAUGA